GACGAACGCUGGCGGCGUGCUUAACACAUGCAAGUCGAACGGUGAAGCGCCUUCCUUUUUGGUGGGUGUGGAUGAGUGGCGAACGGGUGAGUAACACGUGAGUAACCUGCCCCCUUCUUCUGGAUAACCGCAUGAAAGUGUGGCUAAUACGGGAUAUUCUGGGUCUGUCGCAUGAUGGGUCUGGGAAAGAUAUUGUUUCGGUGGGGGAUGGGCUCGCGGCCUAUCAGCUUGUUGGUGGGGUGAUGGCCUACCAGGGCGGUGACGGGUAGCCGGCCUGAGAGGGUGGACGGUCACACAGGGACUGAGACACGGCCGAGACUCCGACGGGGGGCAGCAGUGGGGAAUAGGGCACAGUGGGGGAAAGUGUGAUGCGGCGACGCCGCGUGAGGGAUGGAGGCCUGCGGGGGGUGAACGUCUUUCGCUAGUGAAGCUGGCCUGCCUCGUAUGUGGGUGGAUUGACGGUAGCUGGAGAAGAAGCGCCGGCUAACUACGUG
rnacentral:rRNA from 1 species